CAGAGACACGUGUUGACCAUCAUGGCGUCUGAACACAGAGAGAGGCCCAUCGGAGAGCAGCCGUCGCUGCUUGAAAGUGUGCUGAGAAACUGCUUCCCUGCCCUCCAGUCUCUCGCUAGCUCUCGUGGGGAGGUGGCACGUCUAAAGAAGACCGUGCAAAUAGUGCCCCCCCACACACGGAGGUUCACCUGCCAGGUCGUGUUGGGGGAGCGCCAUUUCCCCCUCAUGAGCGCUGGUUCGAGAACGGAGGCCAGGGAGGAGGCCAUUCAAGCAGCCACAUCUGUUCUCCUGGGUGAGGAGGAGCUGCAGAGGAGAGAGGAGGAGAGGCUGUCCUCUCAGCCGUCCUGCAGCUCCUCUUCACAGAAGCUCGUUAAGACGGAGGUGAAAGAGGAGGAUAAAAAAUAAACCCUACUCACGUUUAUAUUUAAUAAAUAUAUAUAUAUUGC
rnacentral:lncRNA from 1 species